UUUUGUGACGCGCCUCCCCCUUCCCUCCGGUAGCAGACCGCCGCCCAGCGCCACCGUCCUCCUCCUUCCUUCCCCUUCAUGCCUUUAUAAUCUGCCUUCCCUGCUUCCUUGCGUCUUCUUUGUUCCAGGAGGGCAGGAACAAACUUUGAUUUCCUUCACUCCUCUCCUAAUAAGCUGGCCCAUCUUGUUUAAUUGGGCUUUUGGAUAUCGACCCUCGGGGCUCAGGAAGAACGGUCCAUCAAACGGGACGUAUAAACUACGGUUGAGGUACGAAGAAGAUCAUGGGAUGCCUUAGAGUGAGGAUACCACCAUCAAAUUCACGAUCGAUGAUUAGUAAAGAUAACUAUAUCAUUAGUAAUAAAGGGAUGUAUUAAUUAAACUCUAAGUUUGAUUUCAUGAUUUGAGUUAGAUUUUAAUAUUAAUGUUUAGUCAAUGCUAGAAGUAUUUAUUAUUAAAGUUUAUUUAGUAAUUUAAAAAGGUUAUGUCGCCUUGUAUUUCCCACGAGGGAGAUACGACAUGUGACUCUCCGACUAAAUUAGGGUUUCCGCUGCUAAUUAAAGAUAAUUAACUUAAUUAAUGAUGUUUAGAAGUCGGGGCGUUACAGCUUCCUAUCUUGGCAAUUUGCUUGGUGCUUAGCUAAGUUAUCUGGCUGCGAUUGUUAUUCUAAAUCACAAAGCUCGAUUUUAUUUUUAUUGAAUAUUGGAUUUCAGUUUGUCAAGAUUUUGUUUCUUUCCGACACUUUCUUUUUUUACCUCUUUUCCCAGGAUUCUUCAACCAUUUAGCGUCUGCUUGCUGCAAAUUUUGUUGGAUCUGACCAGAUUGUGGUAUGCAUAUCUAUUACUUGUAAGGCGUAUCUUGGUAUUAUGUAUGUGGUUGUAUUGGAUGGCUUAUAACUGGUUAGCAUGGUUUGCUAUUAUUGGCCUGUUUUAGCUUGGAAUUCUGCUAUUUGAGCUUAAUCAUGUAAAGAACUUCAGUUGUCGAAAACUAAUUUGUUUUGAUCCUGGCCCUUUGUAUCCUUUUAGAUGGGAAUCCAGAAAUUUGUGAAAUUGUGGAUUAAAAGUACCGAAGAUUAAAAGAAAAUCUUAGAUGAACUUAAAUGAUGAGAGUAGUACACUAUCUGAAUUUCUCUCUCCGGCAACUCGUCUCAAUUUGCUGGGGUUUUCUCUCUCCGGCGAAAUACCAAGUGGGUUUUUUGCUAAAUUAACAACCCUCAAAACUAUUAGCCUUAGUUUUAAUGAAUUGUCAGCAAAUUUACCUUCAGAUUUGGGGUUAUGUUCUGAGUUGAGGAACGUUUAGUUGCAGGAUAAUAAAUUUGAAGGUGAAAUCCCUGACUUUUUUUUUUCCAGAGUUGAAGAAUUUGGUUCCACUUAAUUUGGAAAACAAUAAUUUUGUAUUGAAGUUCCUGCUACUUUUAGGAAUUUGAAUAGGUUGAAGACUUUGUAUCUGCAAGAACAUAAUCUGGGUGGGUUUUAGCCAGAAUUGAAGCUGAAAUUGGACCAAUUUAAUGUGUGAUAAAAUAAUUUAAAUGGGUCCAAAGCCGCUGAAAAGUAUAUAAAGUAGUGUACUAUGAUUAUCAGCUUUACUAUGACUUGAUUCCCUAUGAUUUACAUAACUCUACAAGAAAAUCCUUUUAACAUUUUUUGUUAUAAAGUUUAUUUGAUAUUACUUGUCCCCAGUGUAUGUUUGUGCAGCCCAUUUCUUCGAGCAGGUAUUAAGGUAACAGACAAUUUAAUACUUUAAAGUCUUUUGUGUUUAAGACAACUUUAUCAGUCAGCUGAACUUUAGGCUACCUUUGGCACUACAGGUUUUUCUGCAAGGCUCGGGAGCCAAAUUCACCCCGCGUGCACUAGCAAGAAUAAUGCAUGUCAUUGCUAAUGUGUGAUGCGUAGCAAGAAAAAGAAGCAACGUUUGAGUUUAGAGAAAAUUAAACAAGAAUUAGUUAAAAAGAGCCAAGUAUCAGAUCAAAUCUAAUCUAAUGACAGAAGGAAAAUUUUAAUACUUUUCACCAUAUGCUCUAUCCCAAAAUAUCACAUUUGUUUUAUGUCUAGGUUGCUUCUAUUUCAAAUCUAUUCUAAUAUUUUAAAACACAAUGUUUGCAUGUAAUGAUGCCACAUGUCAUCUCUUUUAUAUAUUUUUUUAUUUUUUUUUGUUAAUUCAUCAUUUAUAUUCAUGCUUUCCAAUUCUCCUCCUUAAUUACUUAGAUAUUCAUUUUAUUUCAAAAAUACUUUUAUUCAUUUCACAUUCUAAAUUUAAUUUCAUUAUACUCCAAAUGUUUCACAUUUUAUUUUUUCAAAAUUUGAGUAUCCUACUUUAUAUGACAUAAAUAAUGUACCCGAAUUUUUAAAUUAAGAAACUCGUGCAUCGCACGGGGUAAAAACUAGUUAACCUUAAAGAACCAUGCAAGAGGAUGCGUCAUGUGAUUUUUCCACUAUUGUUGUAUGGAUUGUAAAUUUGUAAUAAGUGCACGAAAGGAACGAAUGUUUUAAGUAUCUUGAAAUUGCACAAUUACGUGAUAUUUCAUAUUAGCCAUUAAUCUUAGUAGU